rnacentral:rRNA from 1 species
CUUGGUCAUUUAGAGGAAGUAAAAGUCGUAACAAGGUUUCCGUAGGUGAACGGCGGAAGGAUCAUUACAUUCAGUAGCUUGCUACUGUUAGGGGGGUCCAUUAGUCUGUAUAGUAUCACUACUGAUGAGCAGCACGACUCCCUGUCUAUACCCUUGUCUUUUGCGCACUCAUGUUUCCUCGGCGGCUUGAUACCCGCCGGCUGGAUCAAUCUAUAACCUUUUUAAUUUUCAAUCAGCGUCUGAAAAACCUAAUAAUUACAACUUUCAACAACGGAUCUCUUGGUUCUGGCAUCGAUGAAGAACGCAGCGAAAUGCGAUAAGUAGUGUGAAUUGCAGCAUUCAGUGAAUCAUCGAAUCUUUGAACGCACAUUGCGCCCCUUGGUAUUCCAUGGGGCAUGCCUGUUCGAGCGUCAUUUGUACCCUCAAGCUCUGCUUGGUGUUGGGUGUUUGUCCACUGUCGUGGACUCGCCUUAAAGUCAUUGGCAGCCAGUGUUUUGGUAUUGAAGCGCAGCACAUUUUGCGCCUCUAGCCUAGAGCACUCGCGUCCAGUAAGCCUUUUUCCACUUUUGACCUCGGAUCAGGUAGGGAUACCCGCUGAACUUAAGCAUAUCAAUAAGCGGAGGA